rfam:Vitis vinifera, whole genome shotgun sequence of line PN40024, unoriented chromosome 19, chr19
AGUUGUGUGGUGAGCAUAGAGCGAACUAUUCUUUCUCUUUUUACUAAAGAAUACUAUGUGCUCACCUCUUAUGGUGGCAUACAACUAUUUUUGGAGGGAUUGUUCCUCAUUGGAAUGAC